CUUGUGAUUUUAUAGAGGUCUGAUACCCUCUAUUAUUGCUUGGUGGUUGGCCUCGGAUGCUAUCUUCGUGGCCAGCUUGCUUGAAAUUGACAGCCACCUUCUUUUGUUGGCCAUUAUUGCCGACACUUGUUGGUGUUGUCACAUGUGCUGGGCCCUUGCUUUAUCGCUUUGUGAUAAUGCUGGUAGGGGCCGGCUGCUUUCUUUCCACUCACAUUUGUCCUGGAGCGCUGAGUGGUCCUCCUGUCAUUCCACCCACUUUUGU
rnacentral:lncRNA from 1 species